UAGUGGCGGACGGGUGAGUAACGCGUGAGAAUCUGCCCUCAGGAGGGGGAUAACGGUUGGAAACGACCGCUAAUACCCCAUAUGCCGCGAGGUGAAAUGAAUUUCGCCUGAGGAUGAGCUCGCGUCUGAUUAGCUAGUUGGUGGGGUAAAGGCCUACCAAGGCAUCGAUCAGUAGCUGGUCUGAGAGGAUGAUCAGCCACACUGGGACCGAGACACGGCCCAGACUCCUACGGGAGGCAGCAGUGGGGAAUUUUCCGCAAUGGGCGAAAGCCUGACGGAGCAACGCCGCGUGAGGGAUGAAGGCCUCUGGGCUGUAAACCUCUUUUAUCAAGGAAGAAGAUCUGACGGUACUUGAUGAAUAAGCCACGGCUAAUUCCGUGCCAGCAGCCGCGGUAAUACGGGAGUGGCAAGCGUUAUCCGGAAUUAUUGGGCGUAAAGCGUCCGCAGGCGGCCCUUCAAGUCUGCUGUUAAAAAGUGGAGCUUAACUCCAUCAUGGCAGUGGAAACUGUUGGGCUUGAGUGUGGUAGGGGCAGAGGGAAUUCCCGGUGUAGCGGUGAAAUGCGUAGAUAUCGGGAAGAACACCAGUGGCGAAGGCGCUCUGCUGGGCCAUCACUGACGCUCAUGGACGAAAGCCAGGGGAGCGAAAGGGAUUAGAUACCCCUGUAGUCCUGGCCGUAAACGAUGAACACUGGGUGUCGGGGGAAUCGACCCCCUCGGUGUCGUAGCCAACGCGUUAAGUGUUCCGCCUGGGGAGUACGCACGCAAGUGUGAAACUCAAAGGAAUUGACGGGGGCCCGCACAAGCGGUGGAGUAUGUGGUUUAAUUCGAUGCAACGCGAAGAACCUUACCAGGGUUUGACAUCCUGCGAAUCUCUUGGAAACGAAA
rnacentral:rRNA from 1 species